UACGGGGGGGGCAAGCGUUGUUCGGAAUUACUGGGCGUAAAGGGCUCGUAGGCGGCCAACUAAGUCAGACGUGAAAUCCCUCGGCUUAACCGGGGAACUGCGUCUGAUACUGGAUGGCUUGAGAUUGGGAGAGGGAUGCGGAAUUCCAGGUGUAGCGGUGAAAUGCGUAGAUAUCUGGAGGAACACCGGUGGCGAAGGCGGCAUCCUGGACCAACACUGACGCUGAGGAGCGAAAGCGUGGGGAGCAAACGGG
rnacentral:rRNA from 1 species